rnacentral:rRNA from 1 species
GCGCGAAAGCGUGACGCAGCGACGCCGCGUGGGAGAUGAAGGCCCUCGGGUCGUAAACCCCUUUCGGCAGGGACGAAGCGAAAGUGACGGUACCUGCAGAAGAAGCCCCGGCUAACUACGUGCCAGCAGCCGCGGUAACACGUAGGGGGCGAGCGUUGUCCGGAUUCAUUGGGCGUAAAGCGCGCGUAGGCGGCCCGGAAAGUCGGAUGUGAAAUCCCGGGGCUCAACCCCGGGCCUGCAUCCGAUACUUCCGGGCUCGAGGCAGGUAGGGGAGAUCGGAAUUCCUGGUGUAGCGGUGAAAUGCGCAGAUAUCAGGAGGAACACCGGUGGCGAAGGCGGAUCUCUGGGCCUUGCCUGACGCUGAGGCGCGAAAGCUAGGGGAGCGAACAGGAUUAGAUACCCUGGUAGUCCUAGCCGUAAACGUUGGGUGCUAGGUGUGGGCGGUUAUCGACUCCGUCCGUGCCGAAGCUAACGCAUUAAGCACCCCGCCUGGGGAGUA